AUGAAAACAAGGGGAGAGACUACCUUUGUAGCGCCGAAGGAGCAAGCAUCUGUUGUGAAUCUCUCAGGCAAAAGAACUCUUGUUGGACG
rfam:Bacillus sp. X1(2014), complete genome.